rnacentral:rRNA from 1 species
UACGUAGGGUGCAAGCGUUAUCCGGAUUCACUGGGUUUAAAGGGUGCGUAGGCGGGUUGGUAAGUCCGUGGUGAAAUCCCCAAGCUUAACUUGGGAACUGCCGUGGAUACUAUCAAUCUUGAAUAUCGUGGAGGUAAGCGGAAUAUGUCAUGUAGCGGUGAAAUGCUUAGAUAUGACAUAGAACACCAAUUGCGUAGGCAGCUUACUACACGAUCAUUGACGCUGAGGCACGAAAGCGUGGGGAGCAAACAGG